rnacentral:rRNA from 1 species
GAUGAACGCUGACAGAAUGCUUAACACAUGCAAGUCCACUUGAAUUUGGGUUUUUAACUUAGGUUUGGGUGGCGGACGGGUGAGUAACGCGUAAAGAACUUGCCUCACAGCUAGGGACAACAUUUGGAAACGAAUGCUAAUACCUAAUAUUAUGAUAAUAGGGCAUCCUAUAAUUAUGAAAGCUAUAAGCGCUGUGAGAGAGCUUUGCGUCCCAUUAGCUAGUUGGAGAGGUAACGGCUCACCAAGGCGAUGAUGGGUAGCCGGCCUGAGAGGGUGAUCGGCCACAAGGGGACUGAGACACGGCCCUUACUCCUACGGGAGGCAGCAGUGGGGAAUAUUGGACAAUGGACCGAGAGUCUGAUCCAGCAAUUCUGUGUGCACGAUGAAGUUUUUCGGAAUGUAAAGUGCUUUCAGUUGGGAAGAAACAAAUGACGGCACCAACAGAAGAAGUGACGGCUAAAUACGUG